ensembl:lncRNA DGCR5 DiGeorge syndrome critical region gene 5
GGGCGGAGCGGAGCGCGCGGAGCCUAGACCCGCUGCCGGGCCGGGGCUGGGCCGGAGCGGCGGCGCCUGGAUGCCGGCCCGGGGCUGGGCCGGAGACUGGCGCCCGCCCCGAAGCGACUUUCGGUCCCCGACCCGCUCCGCCUGACCCCUAUGAUGAAGAGGGCGUCCACUGGAGAACAUCAUCCACUCGGGCAGUGCCCUCCUGGCCCCGGCCACCAGGGCAGCGUGGGAGCAGAUCCAGCGGAGCGAGGGUGGCACGGCACAGCUGCUCCGGCGCCUCGAGGGCUACUUCAGCAAUGUGGCACGCAACGUGCAGUGGACGUACCUGCAGCCCUUUGUCAUCGUCACCACCAACAUGAUUCUUGCUGUCGACAUCUUUGACAAGUUCAACUUCACGGGAGCCAGAGUCCCAUGGUUCGACGCCAUUCAUGAAGAAUUCCCCAGGGAGCUGGAGUCCUCCAUCUCCUUCCCAGCCAACUUCUUCAAACCACCUGAAGAAAAAGAAGGCCCCCUGGUAAGGCCAGCCAGCCGGAGGACCACCCCGCAGACCACACGCCCAGGGCCUGGCACCGAGGGGGAGGCCCCGAUCAGCAGGUGAAAGCGACACCCUGAUGACACUGGCUAGUUCACCUUCACUCUGGUCAUCGUUUACUGUACCCCGGGGCAGCUCCCGCCUGAGCCCUAUGACCCCAACCGCCGCAGCCUCUGGCUGCCUCACUGGCCCAUCAUUAAUACGUCGAUGGUGAGCGCACUGGUGUACAGCGAGGGGGCUCCACUUCCGAGACCCCUGGAGAGGCCCGUCCUGGUGGAGUUCACCCUGCUGGAGAUGGAGAAGCGAACCAAGCCUGUCUGUGUGUUCUGGAACCAUUCCCUGGCGUAAAUGUGAUGCCGGGAGUUCUGCAUCUUCAUACCAAGAGCAGUGAUGACCUUUUAGCUGGAAUGGCCAGAGGGGUAACGGUGACUAAUGGUGUUAAAGGGAAGGAAAGCUCCUGCCCAUCUGCAGCACCUUCGGCAUCUGCCCCUGCCAUGACCACUGUGGAGAACAAAUCCAAGAUUAGCACAGGAACAAGACGAGGAUGCCCGUUCUCACCACUUUUAUUAGACAUCACACAAAUAUGCAAGAGAAAAAAAUAAAAGCCACCCACACUGGAAAAGAGGACAUCAAAUUAUCCUUGUCUGAUGAAGAUGUGAUCUUGGAUUUACAAACAUGUAAAGCCUCCACCAGAAAACUCUAGACUUGAUAAAUAAAUUAAUACAGUCAUUUGCAGGAUACAAAAUCAACAUACAAAAAUCAGCAGCAUUUUAUACACCAAUAAUGGUCUAGGAAAGAAAUUAAGGAGGCAAUCCCAUUUACAAUAGCAACAAAAUGAAAAAUGAUAUGCCACAGAGGAAAUUUUACCAAGGAGGUGAACGAUUUCUACAAGGAAAACUACAAAACACUGAUGACAAAGUUUAAGAGGACGGAAAGAAAUGGACAGUCAUUUCAUGCUCAUGGAAGGAAUUCAUAGCAUUAAAAUGACCACACUGCCCAGAGCAGUCUAGAGAUUCAAUACAACCCCUACCAAAAUACCAGUGUCAUCUCUCACAGAACUGGAAAAUCGUAAAACUCAUAUGAAACCAAAAAAGAGCUCAAAGAGCCAAAGUCAUCCUCAGCAAAAACAACAAAACUAGAAGCACCCCAUUUCACUGCAAAUUAGAAUGACAAAAUUUUUGACAAGUGCAUGGUAACCAAAACAGCAUGGUCCUAGCAUAAAACUAGACACAUAGAUCAAUGGGACGGAUGACAGAGCCCAGAAAGACAGCCACAUAGUCUUGGGGCUUGUGUCUCUCCUGCUGUGCAUCCAUGCUGGGUGCUUUACAUACAACAGGCAGACAAGAAGUCCCUGUUGCAAGUGAGGACAAAGUGUGGGAAGGCCGUGAGGGUCUGCAGUCCCAGAUGGCCUUGGCCUCACCCCGCAGUGCGCUUUUGCACCAGAGUGCCACCUUCUUCUCCAGGUCCAGGUCUUCAGCAGUGACCCCAGACCCCAGCUGUAAGGGAGGUGGCAGCAUCAGAGGCUCCCCUUGCCUGAGUGGCAGCAGAGGAAACUUGCAUCUAUGGGGCCUAGAGGCCUGGGAUGUGGGGGAGCCAUUCCUGGGGGCAAGUGUCUGCCCUGGUGCUGCAUCUGCUGCCUUUUCACACUGGGUGAGACCCCAAGAGACAGCCUGAGGCCGGUCCUCACUCACUGUCUUUGAGGACCUGAGGGGCAGCUGACAGUGGGAUGAGGCUGGCCCCCUCCUCUUUGGUGACAGGAAGCCUCCCAUGGAACUGUAGGAGCUCACGAUGGCAUUUUGUUUGGUGCACGAACUCAUCCAGGAGGUCUGGGAUCUCUGGUUUUAUCCGACUUCUGACCUCUGGGCAUGGAGGUCUCUCUGCAGAGGCCCAGGCCUGGGCACGAAGGGAGAGAGGCCUCCAUUGUCCCACAGGGGCCUAAAUGCAGACUGUGCAUCCCCGGUGCCCUCAGGAACCCUUCUCUGAUCAUCAGGAUUCUCUUGGACUCUGGGGUCCUUGUCCUGCUCAGGCAUCCCUGCCCCCCUCUUCAGGAGGGCCCUCAACACGAUCUUCUCUGGACAGGAGUCUGGGGCACAACUGGAUGUUGUGGGCCCCAAAGGGGUGACUCCCUGCUCCUGGGCCCCACAGAGAGUCCUUGUGCUCAGUGCACUGGCUGAGCUGCAAGACAUCCUGGAAUUGGGAGCACACAGCACCGGCUUGCUGUGGUACCUGUGCAUUCAAAUUGAAGGCAGGAUCGCCAGCAAGGAACACAGGGCUUGCAGGAUCACAGAAAACCCUUGGAGUUGUUUUGACACACCACUGAUGCCAAGUGUCUGGGUACUUGUAGGAUGGCCCUGCCAUUCCAUCCAGGGGCAGUGGCAACAGGGAGAUUCCACAAACAAAGUGAACUGGGGGAUGGGAUGAGCAGGCUCCAGGCAACUGAGCCCUACUGGCAGGCCCUUGGCCCCCGGGGCCGGGACAGGGGUGACAGACACAGAGUGCCCAGGUAACCACUCCUGGGAGCAGUGGGGAACCGUCGGAUGCUUCAACUCUUGAGAGCUGGGCUCUAAGCAUCCGCCUUAGCUGCCAACUUGGCCAAAGGCUAUGCGAGCAGUUUCCCGUUGACGGGCAAUGCAUCUUUCCAACCUGAGCGAGUGGGUGUGUGUGCAAAGAUGGUGCGAGUCACGGAUCUGCGCAGGAAGGGUGACUUUAAGGGAUUAGCAUGGCCAGGUAUGCACACAAGGCACCUGCUGGCAAUGCCUUGGUGGGGAGCGGGCAGUGCACACAAGAGGUACUGGAGGGAGAGGCGCGCGGGAAGAACAGGCGCGCACAAUGGCUGCAGAUCCACCUGUGGAUCGCUGAAGAUUCCUGCUGAGGGUUGAGGCUGCUGGGCUGGAGGACUGUAUGGUCCAUGCAUUGUAAUGUCCCCUUCUCUCCCUGGCCCGGAGCCCCAAGAGCUAUCCGGACUCUCUCCAAGACCUGGUUCUGGCCCAGCAAAGAGGUCUCGGCAGGGGAGCAGGAUUCCCGGCCCAGCAGCUGGCUCAGGAGGUGACAGCUUUGGGAUUCGCAUCUGAGCAUCCUCCUACUCUUCUCCUGGGAACUCUGUUGGGGAGGGUUGCUCAGAACAGAAGUGCCUGGGACGCCCAGAUCCUGCUGGAGUGGCAGCUGGGGUGAUGGCCAGGGCAGGCUGGGAGGGACAUACUUUCCAUAGGACCCAGUGCUUUCAUCUCCGUGCAACUGACCAAGAGAAACCAAACCCAAACUCCUUCCUUUACACAGACCUAUUUGAGGGAGGCUGGGUAUUGUUUGUGUAUUUCAACCUAACAAGAUUUUGAGAUAGUUGGAAUGCAGAAGGAGACAGGAGGACUCAAGUGUCCUGUCUUUUGCAAAAAUGUCAAACGUAGCUACUCAGUCUCUUUUUUGUUUUUUUGUUUGUUUUGAAGACUAUGGUUAUUUUGCAAAAUAUAUAUUAUUUGAGUUUCUCUAGGUGCUAUUUUUAGAUAAAUUAAUAUACUUUUUUCAUCAGCACAUGAAACGUUCUUCAAAACAGAUCCUUUGUUAGUCCACAAAAGCUGUCCCUACACAUUUUAGGAAAUCAUAAUCAUAAUCAUUCCAAAGAUCAGACAACAGAGGAAUAAACCUAGAAAUGGACAUCAAGGCAAACUACAGAACCUAUACGCAUACAUGAAAAUUAAACCCCACCCUCCUGAAUGAGCACUGAUUCAAUGAAGAAAUUAAAAUGAAAAUCCGAAAAUGUUUUCAAACAAAUGAAAAUGGAAACAUCAUAUACCAAAAGCCUUUGGAUUCAGCAAAAUCAGUGCUGUGAGGGAAGGUUGUAGCAAUAAAUACCUACAUCCAAAAAGUAGAAAGAUGAAAAAUUAAUAAACUUAUGAUGCACCUUAA